GGGGUUCUGGCCGAGUGGUUAAGGCGCUGUGUUUAGGUCUAUUACGUGCACCGCAGUGGGAAACCGCGCAGGUUCGAAUCCUGCGGACCUCA
rnacentral:tRNA from 2 species